rnacentral:rRNA from 1 species
CCUACGGGAGGCAGCAGUGGGGGAUAUUGCACAAUGGGGGGAACCCUGAUACAGCGACGCCGCGUGGGUGAAGAAGCGCCUCGGCGCGUAAAGCCCUGUCAGCAGGGAAGAAAAUGACGGUACCUGAAGAAGAAGCCCCGGCUAACUACGUGCCAGCAGCCGCGGGAAUACGUAGGGGGCAAGCGGUAUACGGAUUUACUGGGUGUAAAGGGGGCGCAGACGGCGAUGCAAGCCAGGCGUGAAAGCCCGGGGCCCAACCCCGGGACUGCUCGUGGAACUGCGGGGCUGGAGUGCAGGAGGGGCAGGCGGAAGUCCUGGUGUAGCGGUGAAAUGCGUAGAUAUCAGGAGGAACACCGGUGGCGAAGGCGGCCUGCUGGACUGCAACUGACGUUGAGGCCCGAAAGCGUGGGGAGCAAACAGGAUUAGAUACCCGAGUAGUC